rnacentral:rRNA from 1 species
UGUCUACGGGGCGCAGCAGUAGGGAAUUUUCGGCAAUGGGCGAAAGCCUGACCGAGCAACGCCGCGUGAACGAAGAAGGUCUUCGGAUUGUAAAGUUCUGUUAUAGAGGAAGAACGGUGUACGUAGGAAAUGACGUACAAGUGACGGUACUCUGUGAGGAAGCCACGGCUAACUACGUGCCAGCAGCAGCGGUAAUACGUAGGUGGCGAGCGUUAUCCGGAAUCAUUGGGGGUAAAGAGGGAGCAGGCGGCCUGGAGGGUCUAUUGUUAAAGGGCAGUGGCUUAACAAUGGC